rnacentral:rRNA from 4 species
UAAGCACGAAACUUGCCCCGAGAUGAGUUCUCCCUGAGACUUAGAGUCUCCUGAAGGAACGUUGAAGACGACGACGUUGAUAGGCCGGGUGUGUAAGCGCAGCGAUGCGUUGAGCUAACCGGUACUAAUGAACCGUGAGGCUUAACCUUACAACGCCGAAG